GGGUCGCAGUAAAGCUGAAGAAUCACUGGAGAGGGAAGACUGAGUGGGACGGGUACUGUGUUAGGAGAGUGGGACCUUUGAAGUCAAGAUGGUAUAGACAGCGCAACUGGGAGUAACGACAGAGUCAAGGGAACGGCCAUGGGGGUGAGUGGCCGCUAUACCAUAAAGGACAAGAUUGGUGGAAAAGAGCAAGGAGAGGAACCGGGAGGCUGAGUAUCGGAAGGAUCAUGUCUGUGGAUAAUGAAAUUGCCAAGGAUCAUUAUCAAGAGUAUUAUUAGAAAGAACGCUGAGAGCUGUUGUUUUCAAACCCUCCUUCCAGAACCUAGUGCUCUAAGGAGGGGAAGAAAUUCUGAAAUUUCAGCUCUCAGCCCCCAAGCAAAAACGUCCCCAGAGUCUCCUUCAAGUGCUAAUUGCAAAAUAAACAGAAAGCCAGCAGGGGCUGCCUGGGAAGAAGUGGAAACAGCAGAGGAGCAUCCCCUAGUUGGCCGGUGUUUGCCUCCGAAGAGCCCAGCUUUCCCAGUUGCUCUCCUUGCUUAAUGUGAAGAAUUAAGAGGUGGCGAGCGGCUGGGGGCCCUGAGGUGACUCAUCGCAGCCAGCCAGCCCUCGGUACGUUUCUGCAUGCAUUUUAUGUGGAAUCCUAGGCUGCUGGUUGAUGACAUCUUAGAUUUCAUAUUUAACUGCCAUGCGUGUUCUAGUGCAGAAAAGACUAAAUAUAGACUUGGAAUUGGGAAAUCUAAAAGGAAUAGCAGAGCAGCCUCAGUGGCCAGUGCUGGAGGGGGUGUGAGGAGCUAAGGACGUGGAAGUGUGGCCAAGAGGGCAUUGUUUCUGUCCAUUCCUGCCAAGGACCCUGCCCCGGGAUGAGGGUGCCAGGAAAGAAAAUACCAGCCCCAACGCACUAUUGAAGAUAAACAGCUUCCCUCUCUUCACUUACCAGAGUGGGGCUGCGGCUCCCCCGGUCCUCCCUGCAUGGAAGCGGCAGUGGAUUCUGCCCAGAGCUGUGGAGCCAGUUCCUCUCUGCCAGGUCAGACCUGGCCUUGAGACAGAGAGAGUGCCGGGCUCCCUGUUAGCCCCUCCCUUUACCCUCCAGGCCCAAGAAGCCCAACAGAAAAACCGGCCCCUUCCCCUAAGUCAGUCAUGGCUGCAGAUCAGCGUCUGAGGGGUGGGGCAGCGCGAUGCUUGGACCACACAUGAAUCCCAUCAGCAGCAUAUGUAGUGAGAUUUAGAGACUGGAAGGAUGGACAGGAGGGACUUACAUCCAAAGUCGGCUGUGGUUAUCUCUGGGUGAUAGGAUUAUGAUGACUUUUCCAUUUUCUUAUCCAUAUUUUCUAAAUUUUCUAUAAUUCGUAUGUAUUACUAACAUACAUACAAAAACUCCUAAUAAGCUUGUUUUGUUUUUUGUUUUUGUUUUUGAGACAGUGUCCUGUUCCGUCACCCAGGCUGAAGUGCAGUGGCGCGAUCUUGGCUCACUGCAACCUCCCCCUCCUGAGUUUAAGCAAUUCUGCCUCAGCCUCCUGAGUAGCGGUCGCUACAGGCGCCCGCCACCAUAUCUGGCUAAUUUUUGUAUUUUUAGUAGAGAUGGGGUUUCACCAUGUUGUCCAGGCUGGUUUCGAACUCCUGACCUCAGAUGAUCCACCUGCCUUGGCUUCCCAAAAUGCUGGGAUUGCAGGUGUGAGCCACUGUGCC
rnacentral:lncRNA from 1 species